rnacentral:misc_RNA from 1 species
UAUAUGCUUCUCUGCUGUUUCCAGCAGAGAUUGAAUUUGGGGUUUCCGGCUAUUUCAAUGCGUUUGAGACCCAAAAGGACUUGUUCUGGUGUGGAGUGUUUUGGGGGUUUUCACAUAAAGCGAUUUUUCUACCUUUUCCUGUUCUUGAGAGGGCCUCUGACUUGAUACCACCGUGAUAAUCCGACCUUCUCCCUCCCUUCAUUUCUUAUCAUAUUUUUCGUUUUGUUUUUUUAUUUAAAAUAUUUCUGGGUACUAUUGAGGGGUUUUGGCUAGUUUUAACCCAUUCCUGAUGCUGAAGCCUAGAACACAACCUUUGAACCACAGUAAACCCUGCAAAAGAGUCUCUGAUACCAAGUCAAUCUUGCCGGAAGAGUCGAGAAUGGAGUCCAAAA